UGGGGAAUAUUGCACAAUGGGCGCAAGCCUGAUGCAGCCAUGCCGCGUGUAUGAAGAAGGCCUUCGGGUUGUAAAGUACUUUCAGCGGGGAGGAAGGGAGUAAAGUUAAUACCUUUGCUCAUUGACGUUACCCGCAGAAGAAGCACCGGCUAACUCCGUGCCAGCAGCCGCGGUAAUACGGAGGGUGCAAGCGUUAAUCGGAAUUACUGGGCGUAAAGCGCACGCAGGCGGUUUGUUAAGUCGGAUGUGAAAUCCCCGGGCUCAACCUGGGAACUGCAUUCGAAACUGGCAGGCUAGAGUCUUGUAGAGGGGGGUAGAAUUCCAGGUGUAGCGGUGAAAUGCGUAGAGAUCUGGAGUAAUACCGGUGGCGAAGGCGGCCCCCUGGACGAAGACUGACGCUCAGGUGCGAAAGCGUGGGGAGCAAACAGG
rnacentral:rRNA from 1 species